rnacentral:lncRNA from 1 species
UCCAAUCCUCUUUUCAACCUCUCUCAUUUCUCUCUUUGCUUUCUCUCUCUUCACUUCUCCCUCUCAGACGUCUCUCUUCAGUCCCUCUUCUCUCAUCAACCCAGCUCACCGUAAAAACAGACCUAGCCCCGACCACCACCUCUAACCACCUUAGACCGCCGCAAAAACACCCAACUCUGGUUGAACUUCAACCGGAGGAUUCAUAUGUUGAUCCAAACCCCAGUGUUCUUCAACCCCACCUUCAACUUAUGGGUUCCUCAAAUGAACCCUAAGUCCAAAACACCAAGAACCCAAUGAACCCUGCCCAUAUUCAUAUGAACCCUAACCCUAAAUCAUGAACCCUAAACCUGAAUCACGAAUCCUAAACCUAAAUCAGAUUCAAACUUAAACAGUCCCCCUGAUUUUCAUAAAUCGGGAUCUGAUGCUAACGUACCCAAACCCUUACAAACAUCCACACGUCAUUUAAAACAAAGUCAAACACAUAGAUGCAAAAAAAAAAGCGAUUAAGUUAAAGAGAUCCACCAACCAACGGAAUUGAGGAGUAUUCCGAUUAUUAAAGGUAAACAAUUUUCUCUCGAUUUUCUUUUCUUUUGAUCUCUUACUACCUUCUCUUUCUGACAUCUUAUUUCUCCCUUAUUGCGAGGUACUACCUGAUCUCUUAAAGGAAGCUGGGCUCGAGUGAAUUAGGGUUUCAAUGUGAACCCUAAACACCAAUGUUCUGCACUUUUUAGUGAGGAUUUCCAAUUUACAAUGGUAAAUAUGUUAUGGUUAUUUCUUAAUUUUUUCUCCCUCGAUUAUGAUUUAGACCAAGGUACUUAUAGAUUAGGAAUUAGGGCUUGGAUUUAAUUCUGAUUGUUUUUAGAAAAACUUGUAAUUUGAUUAUGAUUGUAAUUGAUUUAAUUAGAUUUUUAGGUUUUUUAGGUUUUCGGAUUGCACUGUGUACUUGGACUAAUUUCCCUUGUAAAUCCAAAUUUUUGAUGUAUCUAAAAUCUAAAUGGAAAGAUUUGAUUGUUUGUUUAUUCAAUUUUUCGAUGCAACCUUCUCUGAUUCAGUGCACAUGAUUAGGGUUUAUGGGAGCAAAAUUGAGGAUUGGGUAAUCCAGGUCAUGGGUGUGACCUAGUGAGAUGGUC